rnacentral:rRNA from 1 species
AACUGACGCUGAGGCUCGAAAGCGUGGGGAGCGAACAGGAUUAGAUACCCUGGUAGUCCACGCCGUAAACGAUGAGUGCUAGGUGUAGGAGGUAUCGACCCCUUCUGUGCCGGAGUUAACGCAAUAAGCACUCCGCCUGGGGAGUACGGUCGCAAGACUGAAACUCAAAGGAAUUGACGGGGGCCCGCACAAGCGGUGGAGUAUGUGGUUUAAUUCGACGCAACGCGAAGAACCUUACCAGGGCUUGACAUCCUUCUGACCGGACAGUAACGUGUCCUUUCCUGCGGGACAGAAGAGACAGGUGGUGCAUGGUUGUCGUCAGCUCGUGUCGUGAGAUGUUGGGUUAAGUCCCGCAACGAGCGCAACCCCUACUUUCAGUAGCCAGCAUAUGAGAUGGGCACUCUGGAAGGACUGCCAGGGAUAACCUGGAGGAAGGCGGGGAUGACGUCAAGUCAUCAUGCCCCUUAUGUCCUGGGCUACACACGUACUACAAUGGGAUGGACAGAGAGCAGCGACCCCGCGAGGGCAAGCGAACCCCAUAAACCAUCUCCCAGUUCGGAUUGCAGGCUGCAACCCGCCUGCAUGAAGUCGGAAUCGCUA